GGGAGCCUGUCGUGUGUGUGUGUGUGUGUGUGUGUGUGUGUGUGUGUGUGUGUAGGUGCGUGCACGCAUACACACACGCACAC
rnacentral:miRNA from 1 species